GUGAAUCAUCAAAUUUUUGAACGCAAAUUGCACUCUCCUCGGAGAGUAUGCCUGUUUGAGGGUCAGCCUAAAAAAAAUUGACAUCGUUUCUGUUCCGCGGUUACGGUUGUUGGGAAUUUGGGUAUUUUAAACCUUUUUGUUUAAGCGACUUAAAAUUUUCCUUUUUAUUCCAUUAAAGUUUCUAAGAUUUAUUUCUUUACCCGUUUAAGGUAUUGAUUUUUAUUUGAAGUUGACAUCAU
rnacentral:misc_RNA from 1 species